UCCCUCAUGGUCCAGUGGUUAAAACUCUGUGCUUCCAAUACAUGGGGCAAGGGUUCAAUCCCUGGUGAGGGAA
rnacentral:tRNA from 1 species